CCCGAAUGGGGAAACCCAGUGUGAUUCGUCACACUAUCAUUAACUGAAUCCAUAGGUUAAUGAGGCGAACCGGGGGAACUGAAACAUCUAAGUACCCCGAGGAAAAGAAAUCAACCGAGAUUCCCCCAGUAGCGGCGAGCGAACGGGGAGGAGCCCAGAGCCUGAAUCAGCAUGUGUGUUAGUGGAAGCGUCUGGAAAGGCGCGCGAUACAGGGUGACAGCCCCGUACACAAAAGCGCAUGUGCUGUGAGCUCGAUGAGUAGGGCGGGACACGUGGUAUCCUGUCUGAAUAUGGGGGGACCAUCCUCCAAGGCUAAAUACUCCUGACUGACCGAUAGUGAACCAGUACCGUGAGGGAAAGGCGAAAAGAACCCCGGCGAGGGGAGUGAAAAAGAACCUGAAACCGUGUACGUACAAGCAGUGGGAGCCCCACCACUAAGCCAGUGGUGAACUCCACAUACGCAUCCUUUGCUGAGGAUACGGUUAACGGAGCGAAAGCGACGUUCAACCUCAAAAGAAGCAGAGGGGGCUUAGUGGUGGGGUGACUGCGUACCUUUUGUAUAAUGGGUCAGCGACUUAUAUUCUGUAGCAAGGUUAACCGUAUAGGGGAGCCGGAGGGAAACCGAGUCUUAACCGGGCGUUAAGUUGCAGGGUAUAGACCCGAAACCCGGUGAUCUAGCCAUGGGCAGGUUGAAGGUUGGGUAACACUAACUGGAGGACCGAACCGACUAAUGUUGAAAAAUUAGCGGAUGACCUGUGGCUGGGGGUGAAAGGCCAAUCAAACCGGGAGAUAGCUGGUUCUCCCCGAAAGCUAUUUAGGUAGCGCCUCGUGAAUUCAUCUCCGGGGGUAGAGCACUGUUUCGGCUAGGGGGCCAUCCCGGCUUACCAACCCGAUGCAAACUGCGAAUACCGGAGAAUGUUAUCACGGGAGACACACGGCGGGUGCUAACGUCCGUCGUGAAGAGGGAAACAACCCAGACCGCCAGCUAAGGUCCCAAAGUCAUGGUUAAGUGGGAAACGAUGUGGGAAGGCCCAGACAGCCAGGAUGUUGGCUUAGAAGCAGCCAUCAUUUAAAGAAAGCGUAAUAGCUCACUGGUCGAGUCGGCCUGCGCGGAAGAUGUAACGGGGCUAAACCAUGCACCGAAGCUGCGGCAGCGAACGUAUCACUUAAAGCGAUUCAGCGGAUGACGAUUGACGGAGCGAAGCGACGUCAAAGCGUAUACAAAGUCGAGUCGGUUUAAGGAUACGUUCGUUGGGUAGGGGAGCGUUCUGUAAGCCUGCGAAGGUGGCCUGUGAGGGUUGCUGGAGGUAUCAGAAGUGCGAAUGCUGACAUAAGUAACGAUAAAGCGGGUGAAAAGCCCGCUCGCCGGAAGACCAAGGGUUCCUGUCCAACGUUAAUCGGGGCAGGGUGAGUCGACCCCUAAGGCGAGGCCGAAAGGCGUAGUCGAUGGGAAACGGGUUAAUAUUCCCGUACUUGGUGUUACUGCGAAGGGGGGACGGAGAAGGCUAUGUUGGCCGGGCGACGGUUGUCCCGGUUUAAGCGUGUAGGUGUGUGUUCCAGGUAAAUCCGGUUCACUUUAACACUGAGGCGUGACGACGAGGCACUACGGUGCUGAAGCAACAAAUGCCCUGCUUCCAGGAAAAGCCUCUAAGCAUCAGGUAACAUCAAAUCGUACCCCAAACCGACACAGGUGGUCAGGUAGAGAAUACCAAGGCGCUUGAGAGAACUCGGGUGAAGGAACUAGGCAAAAUGGUGCCGUAACUUCGGGAGAAGGCACGCUGACAUGUAGGUGAAGUGAUUUACUCA
rnacentral:rRNA from 1 species